GCCUCAAGUUUACGUGGCCCGCAGAGGAGGCGCUUUGUGAAUUUCCAUAGAGGCUUUCGGGGCUCCUGAGGACCUCGCUGUGAGCUCUCCCCUUGAGUAUGCCACAAAAGAAAAACAUAAAUUGGACUUCACCAAGAUUAAAAAUUUUUGUGCAUCAAAAGACACUAUCAAGAGAUUGUCAAAGACAAUUCACAGAAUGGAAAAAAAUAUUUGCAAAGCAUAUAUCUGAUAAGGGAUUAAUAUCCAGAAUAUAUGAAGAACUCCUACAACUCAACAACAACAACAAAUUUAACCCAGCUCAAAAAUGGACAAAGGACAUGAAUAGACAUUUCUCCAAAGAAGAUAUACCAAUGGCCAAUAAGCACAUGAAACGGAUGCUCCAUGUAACUAACCAUUAAGAAAAUGUAAAUCAAAACUAAUCUCAAAAAGUGAGAUACCACUUCACACCCAUUAGGAUGACUAUUAUUUGAAAAACAAUAGCAAAAUAACAAGUAUUAGCAAGGACGUGGAGAAAUUGGAACCCACGCACCAUUGCUGGUGAGAAUGUAAAGUGGUGCAACCACUGUGGAAAACAGUAUGGUGGUUCCUCUAAAUGUUAAACAUAAAAUUACCCUGUGAUCCAGCAAUUCCACUUCAGGGUAUAGACCUAAAAAAUAGAAAGCAGAGACUCAAAUACUUGUACAACAGUGUUCAUAGCAGCGUUAUUCACAAUUGCCGAAAGGUAGAAACAACCCAAAUGCCAUCAGUGGAUGAAUGGAUAAACAAAAUGUGGUACAUGCAUAUAAUGGAGUAUUAUUCAGCCUUAAAAAGGAAGGAAACUCUGAUAUAUGCUAUAAGAUGGAUGAACCUUGAAGACAUUAUGCUAAGUGAAGUAAGCCAGACAAAAAAAGACAAAUAUUGUAUGAUUACACUUAUAUGAGGUACUUACAAUAGGCAAAUUCAAAGAGAUUGAAAGUGAAACAGGAGUUACCAGAGGCUGGGGUGAAGAGUGGAUGGGAGUUGCUGUUUAAUGGGUACAGAAUUUCUGUUUGGAAUGAUGAAAAAGUUCUGGAAAUGUAUAGUGGUGAUGGUUUGUGACUGAAUUGUGAAUAUACUUAAUGCCACUGUAUUGUACACUUAAAAAUUGUUAAAAUGAUAAAUUUAUGUUAUGUAUACUUUACCACAAUAAAAUUAAAUACAAAAUAUUUUAAAAAGAGAAAAAAGAUCCACACCUUUCACAUGGUUUACCACAUCUCUUGCUUCCCCUCUCUUGUUACACACCAGUCACCUUGGCCUACGCUUAGUUUUUGGAACAUGCCGAACAAUUUUCACAUCUCAAGGCCUUUGCUCCUGCCUAGAAUUCUCUUGUCCCAGCUUUUUGAGUGACUAAUUAUUUUCUUUGAUCUCAGCUUCUAUGUCAGUUUCCCAGUGAGGCCACACUUGCCCCACCUAUCUAAAGUGGGUCUACUAUAAAACAUCCCCCUUUUUGUUUCCUUCAUAAUCUGUAAUGAUACUCUAAAAAAAAACAUAUACUUUUGCUGCCCUCACUGGAAUAUACAUUCUGUGAGAGGAAAGACCUUAAUCUGUUUUGCUUACCUUUUUAUUCCUAGUACCUAAUACUUAAUAAAUAUCCCUUGAAUGCAUAAAUAAAUGAAUAUGUGCUGAUUUGGAAAUUUUUUCAAGAUAUAUUAAAUUUUAAAAGCUAGAUGCAGAAGGUAUUUAGUAAAAUCCCAUUUUUGGUUAAAUAAAAAGAACAUGCAUUUAUAUGACUAUACAUAAAAUAUUUUUGAGAGGUAACAGACGAAACUUUACAGUGCAUGCCUCUAGGGAGUGAAACUUGGGACUUGUGGGGAAAGUGAUAUUUUAAUUUUUUAUUGUAUACCAUUCUCUACUGUUUGGAUUUUUACGUGUAUGCAAUUUUAUAAUUAAAUUAAAUCAAGUUGAAAAAUUAUUAAA